UGGUGUAGCUCAGUUGGCAGAGCGACUGAUUCGUAAUCAGUAGGUCCGGGGUUCGACUCCCCGCAUU
rnacentral:tRNA from 1 species